AUGGACCAUUUCAGUGGCCUUACGUAUACCUUCUUCAUCCUCUGGGCCACUGGAGUCCAGAGAGCGCAGAUCAAACCUAAAAUUGCAGGAUGCAUCAGUAAUCAUCUUCAGUCGUAGGACAUUUAAAGAUAUUAGCAAUCACAUACGCAGUAGGACAAAUAACUUUGAUAUGAGGGGACCGCACUGCGCCCAUGGAACUAGCCCAGCCAUGCCUGAAAACAUUUAUAAAGUGCUAACAAGAUUUAUCGUUUUGCAACGUUACGAGUUACAUCCAUUCGCUCCAGACAUGAACUCACCCUGUAUCACCCAAGCCAUGGAAAAAUAUUAACUGAAACACAGAUUUAAAAUCCGCAUUUCGAGACGCGUCGCUGAAAGUGGGCACGACGGUGGAAGACCGGUGGCAGUACCCCAUUCUCGGAGAUGCUGUGUUUGAUUGUUCCCGUUAGGAUAACAGCCGCCGCGCCUCGCGGAAGACGUGCGAUAUUCGUCCAAGGAAAAAACCGACGACAAGAUCAAUCAGCGAGCAUCGAAACGGAGCAGUGAUAUCGGUGAUUUGCCGACGAUCGGGGAGAAGAGAGGAAAAAAGGCGCAAACGUAAGGGAGCAUCUUGCGCGGCGUAAACGUAAUUCACUUAUAAUCAAUUAGGAUCGCUCCACCGCGAGUGGUAUAACCAAAAAUUACCGCUAUGUCUACGUAAAAGAUUUGAU